GUGCACAAUGCACUUGGAGCAGAAACUGGGAUUCAUUGGCUCACCUGGGGGAUGCUGUACCUCUGUCCUUCUUGCUUCCCAUAUGGCUCAUUGACUGGCAUGAACUCACCAGCCAUUGUUUCUUGUGUAGAAGGUGUUUCAUUGGAAGGACCUUGUAGAGCAUGUCCCCAGGAGCUGCCUUCCUAGCAGACUGGAGACUGGGUGUCCUCCAGGAGGGUAGACAGAGAAGGGGAUGCAAAGAUGAGUGUUGGGAGUGCUAGUGUGACUGUUGUCAAGGUGAGACUAAAGGGAGUGUUUAUAUUCAUGCUAAUUAUUAGUUUUUUAUUACAACUUUGGAUUGUAUACUUGUAUAACCAAUUAUUCAUUUAGUCACAUUUUCUUUUCUUUUCAAAAACAAUUUUAUUAGAUAUUUUCUUCAUUUACAUUUCAAAUGCUAUCUUGAAAGUCCCCUAUAACUCCACCCCCAUGCCCUGCUCGCCAACCCACCCACUCCUGUUUCCUGGCCCUGGCAUUCCCCUGUACUGGGGCAUAUAAUUUUUGCAAGACCAAGGGCCUCUCCCAAUGAUGGCCAACUAGGCCAUCUUCUGCUACAUAUGCAGCUAGAAAUACGAGCUCUGGGGGGGGGGUACUAGUUAGUUCAUAUUAUUGUUCCUCCUAUAGGGUUGCAGACCCCUUCAGCUCCUUGGGUACUUUCUCUAGCUUAUAUUUUAUUUUUAAUAGAGUAAAAUUGUAGAUGGUUAAAAGUCCAGGAGUUGCAAAAUAUUUGCAAUAAAAACAAAGGCUAUAUACCUCA
rnacentral:lncRNA from 1 species